rnacentral:rRNA from 1 species
UACGUAGGGUCCAAGCGUUAUCCGGAAUUAUUGGGCGUAAAGAGCUCGUAGGCGGUCUGUCGCGUCGGCUGUGAAAACUCGGGGCUCAACUCCGAGCUUGCAGUCGAUACGGGCAGGCUAGAGUUCGGCAGGGGAGACUGGAAUUCCUGGUGUAGCGGUGAAAUGCGCAGAUAUCAGGAGGAACACCGGUGGCGAAGGCGGGUCUCUGGGCCGAUACUGACGCUGAGGAGCGAAAGCGUGGGGAGCGAACAGG